UUUAGAUUAUGACAUAUUUCCAAAUCGUAUGUGAUAUUAAAGCAUCUCCAUCAGUAGUUUCUCACAUAGUUUCUCAUUAACUAAAAAAUAUAAAAUAAUAAUAAAGUAGGAGAGAGAUAGGAGAGAGAAUGAGAAUAGUUUCUCUGCAGAGAAACUUUAGAGUAAUGAUUGAGAGACUAUGUGUGUAUGUGUGUGUUUAUAAUUGGACAGAAACUAAAUCAUAAUAAAAUAUUAUUAUAUUUUUUUUUUAGAAACUUUCAAAGUAUCUCACCAAUGGAGAUGGCUUAAGCUUCAAAGUAUUGAUAAUCAAAUUCAAACCCGGCAUCACAUAUGUUACUAUUGACAAUAAAACA
rnacentral:sRNA from 1 species